ACAGAUUCGACUAAUUGGCUAAGAAUAUAUAAUCCCAAUUUAAAUCUCGUGCCUAUCUCCUUCUUUAUAGCCAACAACAUAUUUUGAAAUUAAUUCAAACUCUCCUUGCGCAAACAACAGCAAGAGUCCUCCGCUUGGCUGACUCACCUUGCACCUUGCUGCUGGGGGGAGUUUCAAUCCCGUACGGCCCUUUUCCUGCACGCAACGCUGCUCGAACACGGGACCUUCAGAGUACCCAACACACUGCUGACCACUGGGACGGGCCUCCUUCUUU
rnacentral:lncRNA from 1 species